rnacentral:rRNA from 1 species
AACGAACGCUGGCGGCAUGCCUAACACAUGCAAGUCGAACGAGACCUUCGGGUCUAGUGGCGCACGGGUGCGUAACGCGUGGGAACCUGCCCUUAGGUUCGGAAUAACUCCCCGAAAGGGGUGCUAAUACCGGUUAAUGUAUUCGGACCAAAGAUUUUUCGCCUUUGGAUGGGCCCGCGUUGGAUUAGCGAGUUGGUAGGGUAAAAGCCUACCAAGGCGACGAUCCAUGGCUGGUCUGAGAGGAUGACCAGCCACACUGGAACUGAGGCACGGCCCAGACUGCGAGGGGGGGGUGCGGUGGAUAAUAUUGGGGGAGGGGGGAAAGCCCAGUCCAGCAAUGCCGGGGAAGUGAUGAAGGGCGUAGUGUUGUAAAGCUCUUUGACACGGGAUGAUAAUGACAGUACCGGGAGAAUAAGCUCCGGCUAACUCCGUG